AACAUCUGGGACUAGCAUUCCUAGUCAUUAGCCACUUUAGCAUGGUAGUGGACAAUGACGUUUCAUAUAGAAAGUAUGGAUAUUUUCCCAGUUUUAUUCCGCCUUCACGCCAUCAAAUCUAGGUAAGGAGGAACUCGACACCUUUGCAGCCUGAAGGGAGAAUUUUAGGUACGAACUGGUCCACGGGGGAUACGAGUGUAUUGCCGGCUGCAUACAAUGCAUUUGAACGGUCCGCUGUGGGCAUCAUGGAACCUGGGGAUCUUCAUGUGUAUACGCUGGAACCUGGGCAUCCAUAUCUCCUUAGUCAAAUCUGUCAACCUGGACCAAUGGACCCAAGAACAGAUCCAGCUCUUUCAUUCCUCCUCCCAACGCCAUCAUCCUCAUCUGUCUUGUGUGUGUGUGUGGUUUCCGGGUGCCAUCGUGUGUGUGCGCGUGUGUCAUUACCAAGUACAAACUGCCUAGAAUUGGACAUGGGGAACACCAAGGCCAAACAACUGUAUGAGCCCUCCUCCCAGACAACUUCAGACGGCCACAGACAGACCAAGCAGUGGAGUUCUUCAUCCGGGAUAAGUAUGAAAGGAGGAAAUACUGUGACCAGAAUGGCCUCAAAACAGCUCCAGUCGGGACUUCCGAGGUGGGUGUGGUUGAAGGAUGUAAACAAUCGUCAAAUCUAAUUACAGUGAAGAAUGUCAGACUAAGAAGGAAGAGGGAAUUGGAAACCUGCCUUAUUUUCAGAAAGGUACUCUUGUGCCAUAUUGGUUUGAGAUGGAUUAUUCUGAGGCCGAGUUUCAUUUGCGGGCUGACUGAGAGAAAUGAGUGAGCAGAUGUCGAGGAAACACAGGCUCUUCCCAGAACGCACAGCGACUGGUGUUGCAGUUGCUGGAGAUGCCUACCUCUACCAACAGACAGUGAACGUCUCGGCUGUCGAGAAUGGGACCAGCUUAUUUUCCGAUAAUUGAGGAGGUAGAACAUCAGACUGACGAUGCAGCAGAAGAUGGCGCAUAUAACUAAACACUCCGAUUGCUUGUGUCUCAUCAAUCCUGGUGUGUUGGAGACUUUCUUCAGAAUGCCCAGGAACAACUGGAAACGACGUGCCACACCUGGCGUUCCAAAUGGGAAGCUCUUUGAAGCACAAUACCGACUGGGCCUUCGUCGGAUCAUCCUGGAGUGGAUGCUGAGGGGGUACUCCCAGCCUCUGUGGUGGCAGCAAUUACAUCCAACCAACCUUACCCCAGGCUCAUAGCGUCAUAUACAAAUAGCAUUUUCAAUAAAUAACAUUCUAGUUUAAAAAAAAAAAUCAAAACUAUUUCUUGUUAUUAUAAAACAACAAUUACACAGUUACUAUUCCAUUCACACCGUCACUCAGCAUUAGUUAGACCGGGGAGUUACAAACAUGUUCCUUGAGAGCAACCAUCUUGUAGUUUUUCACUCCAGUAGGUGAGCUUUAUUAGGGUUGGAUUGAAAACCUAUAGGACGGUAGAUCUCUAGGUACAAGGUUCGAGAACCGUGGGGUUAUGUAAAACACAGGGAAAAUCCCAAUUGGGACCUUCCCACAGAAUCCUACUCAUUACUCCAUGUGCUGGCUCACGCCUGGGAGGCAGCCCGGUUCCAAAACAUCACCGGUGCAAAACAUGCCUGCCCGGGCCAGAUUAAUUGAAUCCCCUCAUUGAAUAGAACGGGUGUACCCAUUCAAGACAAUGAUGGCAUAAUGGGUGGACUGCUGGCCAUUGUGAGUGUACCCAUAGGACCAAAGCAGGAAGUAACAGCAGGAAGUGUACCCAUCAAUCUGUGCUGGUAUUUGUUGAAUCAACUCAACUGACAUAAAAAAAAAUACAUUCCAUGAGCCACAUCAGUUAGCAUCAUUUGAAUGGACAUUCUACAUUACCAUGGAAAUUAUUGCAUCAUGAACGGCAAGCGGUUCCGAUACACCAAAUCUGGAAACAACAGAACCCUGAACAGCUUCUACCCCUAAGCCAUAAGGCUGCUAAAUAUUUAACAAAAUAGCUACUUGGACUAUCUGCACUGACCUGUUUUGCACCAACUUAUUUGACUCCUCACAUACUCUGCUGUUACUGUUUAUUAUCUGUCACUUUGUUCCUAGUUAUAUGUACAUAUCUACCUCAAUUACUUUGUACCCCUGCACAUCAACUCUGUACUUGUAC